UACGUAGGGUGCAAGCGUUGUCCGGAAUUAUUGGGCGUAAAGAGCUCGUAGGCGGCUUGUCACGUCGGCUGUGAAAACCUGGGGCUCAACCCCGGGCCUGCAGCCGAUACGGGCAAGCUAGAAUUCGGUAGGGGAGACUGGAAUUCCUGGUGUAGCGGUGAAAUGCGCAGAUAUCAGGGAGGAACCGAGCCGGUGGCGGCAAGGCGGGUCUACUGGGCAGUUAACAUGACGCUGGAGGAAGCGAAAGCCAUGGGAGCGAACAGG
rnacentral:rRNA from 1 species